UGAGCCGAAGGUGGACUCUUAACCAACUGAGGUACCCACGCGCCCCAUGGAGAAACAAGUCAGUCAGGAAGCCCCGCUGCAGCCAUGGCUUUUAAAGACACCCAGAAGACAUCAUGGAACCAGAGGUGGGGAUUCACCAGUGAAAAUUACUCUAACCAGCCACAACAUAAAAUCUUUAGAGAAGAUAUGUACUGACUCGAUCAGAGGUGCAAAAGGAAAGAAUCUAAAGGGAAAGGACAAGUUCAAAUGUCCACCAAGCCUCUGAGAAUCACCACAAGAAAAACUCACGAAGCCAGGCCUGUGGCAACCCUCGCAGUGUGCCUAGCCAAGACACCACCAGAUAUCAUCCAGCCCACCGUCGACACUGCCGGCCACCAACCAGACCAC